rnacentral:rRNA from 1 species
UGGGGAAUAUUGCACAAUGGGCGCAAGCCUGAUGCAGCCAUGCCGCGUGUAUGAAGAAGGCCUUCGGGUUUUAAAGUACUUUCAGCGGGGAGGAAGGGAGUAAAGUUAAUACCUUUGCUCAUUGACGUUACCCGCAGAAGAAGCACCGGCUAACUCGGUGCCAGCAGCCGCGGUAAUACGGAGGUUGCAAGCGUUAUUCGGAAUUACUGGGCGUAAAGCGCACGCAGGCGGUUUGUUAAGUCAGAUGUGAAAUCCCCGGGCUCAACCUGGGAACUGCAUCUGAUGCUGGCAAGCUUGAGUCUAGUAGAGGGGGGUAGAAUUCCAGGUGUAGCGGUGAAAUGCGUAGGGAACUGGAGGAAUACCGGUGGCGAAGGCGGCCCCCUGGACGAAGACUGACGCUCAGGUGCGAAAGCGUGGGGAGCAAACAGG